rnacentral:rRNA from 1 species
UGAGUAACCUGCCCCUGGCUCUGGGAUAACCCCGGGAAACCGGAAGCUAAUACCGGAUACGAGACCGAUUGGCAUCUAUACGGCCUGGAAAGUUUUUCGGCCAGGGAUGGGCUCGCGGCCUAUCAGCUUGUUGGUGGGGUAAUGGCCCACCAAGGCGACGACGGGUAGCCGGCCUGAGAGGGCGAUCGGCCACACUGGGACUGAGACACGGCCUAGACUCCUACGGGAGGCA